rnacentral:rRNA from 1 species
GAGAGAGACAUGCGCGCAUAUCAAUAAGCGGAGGAAAAGAAACUAACAAGGAUUCCCUUAGUAACGGCGAGUGAAGCGGGAAGAGCUCAAAUUUGAAAUCUUCAAGGUUUUACCUUGACGAAUUGUAGUUUAAAGAAGUGUUUUCUGCUGAAGUUUUGGUAAAAGUUCUUUGGAAUAGGACAUCAUAGAGGGUGAGAAUCCCGUAUUUGACCAUUAUUUUCAGCUUUGUGAUACACUUUCAAAGAGUCGGAUUGUUUGGGAAUGCAGUCCAAAAUGGGUGGUAAAUUUCAUCUAAAGCUAAAUAUUGGCGAGAGACCGAUAGCGAACAAGUACCGUGAGGGAAAGAUGAAAAGAACUUUGAAAAGAGAGUUAAACAGUACGUGAAAUUGUCAAAGGGGAAGCGUUUGACACCAGUGUUGUUUUCUCGAAAAUCAAUUAAAAAUGGCUCGAUUUUGUAUUGUUGAGACCUUAAAAGCUCACUGUACAUUUUUCGUGUCUUUUUAAUGCACUUUUCGUUUAACAAGUCAACAUCAGUUUCUUUUGUUGUAAAAGGGUCAUUGGAAGGUGGCUUUCUUUUCGGAGAAAGUGUUUAUAGCCUUUGGCCUCUGCAAUCGGAGAGGACUGAGGUCUGCAGCGUAGACUCUUCGGGGUUAGAUACAUUUGUGCUAAGUUAUAGCUUUUUAUAGACAACUUGUUGACUAUAAUUAGUCUUGUAGCUUACUCGCUUAUGCUAUUUUACCUACGCUUAGGAUGUUGAGUCGUAGAGCACGCAG